AUCGAUUACAAAUAAAAAAUUUAUAAGUCACCAUAUAUUUAUCGGUCACAAGUUACAAAUAUUAUAAAUAACAAUUUAUUAUACAAUCACAAAUUAUUGAAUUAUCAUCACAAAAUAACAAUUUUUUUUGUCACAAUUUAUCUUUUUCAUUGAUCAAAUAUUAUUUAUUGGUCACAGAUUAACCCAUUUAAUGGUCACAAUGAACCAAUUAAUUUGUGACCACCACCUCACCACUACCUUCGACAGCAGCAAUAUCAUCGUCGCCACCAUAACUACCUCCCAAAGGCGACAACCAAUCAACAAAUGGUACGAACGGUACUACUAUGAACGCAAGAAAAGCCAAUUGCAACGUCGAUAACAUAUGAUCGCAUCCUAAUUCGUUGUCAUAGCGACCACCACCAUCACCACCACCUCACCACCACAUUCGCCAUCACCACAAAAAUUAGGGCUUCAACGACCAUCACUACUAUCACCUUACCACCACAACCACCAACAAAACCACCGUCACCCCCAUCGCCACUAACAAAAUCCAACAAACCCGUCAUCGAGAGUCCACCACUACUGCUACUAACAAAACAACCACCACCAUCACCAAAUCCAACAAAUUGUCGCCAUAGCCACCCAAGCAUCACAACAAAUUAGAUUCACAAAAUUGCCAUCACUAGAAUCGGAAUGCUACUGGACAUGUGCAGUCCUGUUGGCGUCGUCAUGCUCAACGCUCGCCUCUAGUUGUUUAUGUGCAGAUCGCCUUCGUCAGUGGUGGUUGGUUAUAGCUCAUUGAAGGAGAAGGCGAGAGAUAGGGGGAGUAGCUCAAUGAAGGAGAAGGCGAGAGAUGGCGUCAUGUGUGGCGCUCGCCAUCGAUGGUCUAGGUGUGGAUCGUCUUUAUCGACGGUGGUUGGGUGCGGCUCAGUGAAGGAGUAGACGAGUGGCGGUGUAGCAACUUAUUGAAGGAGACGAGGGAUAGGAGAGAGAGAAUUUGGGUUUGGGAUUGAAAUUGUGUGGUAGAUGAAUUAUUAGGUAAUUAAAAAUAUCUGAUUUUAGAAUUUUAGAAUAUACAAACUUUGGAUCUGAUUUCCGAAGUUGGAUUUUGAAACAUAUGGAUGGGUGUAAUUACCAUUAAGCAAAAAG
rnacentral:lncRNA from 1 species